AGGUAUUGUCUCUGGGGAAGGGUU
rnacentral:miRNA from 1 species